rnacentral:rRNA from 1 species
CUACGGGCCGCAGCAGUGGGGAAUUUUGGACAAUGGGGGCAACCCUGAUCCAGCCAUUCCGCGUGAGUGAAGAAGGCCUUCGGGUUGUAAAGUUCUUUCGGCAGGAACGAAACGGCGGGCUCUAACAUAGCCUGUCAAUGACGGUACCUGAAGAAGAAGCACCGGCUAACUACGUGCCAGCAGCCGCGGUAAUACGUAGGGUGCGAGCGUUAAUCGGAAUUACUGGGCGUAAAGCGUGCGCAGGCGGUUAUGUAAGACAGAUGUGAAAUCCCCGGGCUUAACCUGGGAACUGCGUUUGUGACUGCAUAACUCGAGUGUGGCAGAGGGGGUGGAAUUCCACGUGUAGCAGUGAAAUGCGUAGAGAUGUGGAGGAACACCGAUGGCGAAGGCAGCCCCCUGGGUUAACACUGACGCUCAUGCACGAAAGCGUGGGGAGCAAACAGGAUUAGAUACCCCCGUAGUC